CGCCUCAUCUCGCGAUGAGAACGAGACGCCCCGGGAGUGCGGGGCUCGGCCGCAGCCGAGCCCAUCCUCCCUCGGCCCGCGCCAGGGCGGGCCUUCACUUUCAUUGCGCCUUUAGGUUUAUGCGGUCCCAAUGACUCGCGCACAUGCUAGACUCCUUGGUCCGUGUUUCAAGACGGGCCCUGAAAGUACCCAAAGCAAUAGCGUCGCUGACCGGCGCAGACGAGGUCUGUCCGAGAACGCCGCCGCGAGCAGCCGCUCGGGCCCGCCGCCGGCACCAGGUCCGGGACGGCGGGUUGUCCGCGCGAGCUUGCGACGGGUCGGACGCGUACGAGACGCGGCCCCGCGCCACGGGUCAUUCCGCCGGGCCGAGUCGGCUCGGGAAGCGCGGGUCGGCGCGGCCGUAAAGCCGCGCCGGCUCCACCGCACACCUUAAGCCGACGCCCAGCGGGUCGCGACGUCCUACUGGAGGAGAAGUGCACGCGUUCGCACGCCGGACGGCCGGGGCCGGCGCGUCGCGCCCCGAAGGACGCGCCGUCGCGCGGCGACCCGAUACCGCCGGCCGGAGCCGCGCUGAAUCUCCCCGUUCGAACUUUCGGGUUUCUCAGGUUUACCCCUGAACGGUUUCACGUACUAUUGAACUCUCUCUUCAAAGUUCUUUUCAACUUUCCCUCACGGUACUUGUUCGCUAUCGGUCUCGUGGUAAUAUUUAGCCUUAGAUGGAGUUUACCACCCACUUUGGGCUGCACUCUCAAGCAACCCGACUCUGAGGAGAGGUCCUCCCGUCGCCGGCGUCGGUCGCUACGGGCCUGGCACCCUCUGUGGGUAAGUGGCCCCGUUCAAGAAGGACUUUGACGCGACGCGCGACUUCGGGAUUGCGGACCCUCCCUAACGCCACAUUUCCCGGCGACCGUCGGGCCGCGGGAUUCGGCGCUGGGCU
rnacentral:rRNA from 1 species